rnacentral:sRNA from 1 species
AAUUGGAAAUCGAAAAAGCGAAAAUCGGGAAAUCGGUAAAUCGAGAAAUCGAGAAAGCAAAAAUACUUUCUUGGUUUCUCGAUUUCUCGAUUUCCCGAUUUCUCGAUUUUCCUAUUUCCCGAUUUCCCGAUU